rnacentral:rRNA from 1 species
AUUGAACGCUGGCGGCAGGCCUAACACAUGCAAGUCGAACGAGUGGCGGACGGGUGAGUCAUGUCUUGGAAACUGCCUGAUGGAUGGGGAUAACUACUGGAAACGGUAGCUAAUACCGCAUACCAUCAGAUGUGCCCAGAUGGGAUUAGCUAGUUGGUGGGGUAACGGCUCACCACGUCGACGAUCCCUAGCUGGUCUGAGAGGAUGACCGGCCAAACUGGAACUGAGACACGGUCCAGACUCCUACGGGAGGCAGCAGUGGGGAAUAUUGCACAAUGGGCGCAAGCCUGAUGCAGCCAUGCCGCGUGUAUGAAGAAGGCCUUCGGGUUGUAAAGUACUUUCAUCGGGGAGGCGUUACCCGCAGAAGAAGCACCGGCUAACUCCGUGCCAGCAGCCGCGGUAAUAC